rnacentral:lncRNA from 1 species
UAUAUAUGAUUUCAAAAAUUUUAGAAUUCCUUCAGACACCUUUAGUGGCAUUUGUAUUAGUAUGCUUUUCCUUUAUGUAUUCUACACAUGCCAAAAUCGUUUAAGUCAAGAUCUUAUAAGAUUUUUUUUUUUAGGGAUAAUUGCCUAUACACCCCUCGUACGUUUGAAAAUAUCCGAUUUAUCCUUACUUUUUUUUUUCUUUCUAAAAUACCCCUCAUAUGUUCCACCGUUAUUGCAAAAUACCCUCGCAGUUAUCUCCUGUAAAGUUAACUUGGGUUAAAUGUGAGUUAAGUAUCUACCACAGUUAAAAUAAAUUAAAAUGCCAAUUUUACCCUUAACUUAAGGGCAAAUAAAAAAUAUUGGUGACGGUAGAGGGGUAUAUUGGAAAAGACCAAAAGUUAAAAUACUUUUUGUGCCUCUGACUUUAAGGGCGAAUAAGAAAGUCAGUGAUGGUGGAAGGGUAUAUUUGAAAGGGCAAAAUAGUAAUUUUACAGAGAUAACAGAGUUAAUUAACAGAUUUUAACUCUAGGGGCAUAUUAGAAAUAGGUUGGAAUGUAGAAAGGGUAUUUUCAAUAUUAACCUUCUAAGAGGGGUAAAUCGGAAAGUCGGAAACUUUUCAGGGUUAUAUAAGCAAUUGCCCCUUCCUUUUAUCAAUCUCUUUAUU